GACAGAGGGGGCCAGCGUUGUCCGGAUUGACUGGGCGUACAGCGCGCGCAGGCGGUUGAUGACGUGCCGUGUGACAGCUUGCUGCUCACCAGCAAGUGGUCACGGUAAACGCAUCGACUAGAGGGACCGAGAGGGAUGUGGAAUACCCGGUGGAGCGGUGAAAAUGCGUAGAGAUCGGGUGGAACACCAGGGGCGAAGGCGGCAUCCUGGCGGUCAACUGACGCUGAGGCGGCGGAGAGCGUGGGGAGCAAACGGGGAUUAAG
rnacentral:rRNA from 1 species